rnacentral:sRNA from 1 species
CCGUACGGUUCUGCCUGAGGAGGAGGU